CCUACGGGGGGCUGCAGCAACGAAUCUUCCCCAAUGCCGGAAACGGUGAGGGAGCGACGCCGCGUGAAGGACGAAGUACUUCGGUAUGUAAACUUCUGUAAGGGUCAUGAAAGGCAAGCACCUAAUACGUGCGAAGUUUGAUCUGAUCCCUAAAAGGGGCGGCUAACUCUGUGCCAGCAGCCGCGGUAAUACAGAGGCCCCAAGCGUUACUGAGAAUCACUGGGUUUAAAGGGUGCGUAGGUGGUCCGUUAAGUUCGUUGUGAAAGCCCUGGGCUCAACCCAGGAACUGCUUCGAAUACUGGCGGACUUGAGGCUAGUAGGGGUUACUGGAACUGACGGUGGAGCGGUGAAAUGCGUAGAUAUCGUCAGGAACGCCAAUGGUGAAGACAGGUAACUGGGCUAGUUCUGACACUGAGGCACGAAAGCGUGGGGAGCGAACGGGAUUAGAUACCCUUGUAGUC
rnacentral:rRNA from 1 species